CUCUAGCUAAUCUAGUGGCUAGGACGCCUGGUUUUCAUCCAGGCUACCCAGGUUUAAUUCCUGAGCCAAAAA
rnacentral:tRNA from 1 species